AUUGAACGCUGGCGGCAGGCUUAACACAUGCAAGUCGAGCGGGGUGAUGGUGCUUGCACUAUCACUUAGCGGCGGACGGGUGAGUAAUGCUUAGGAAUCUGCCUAUUAGUGGGGGACAACAUCUCGAAAGGGAUGCUAAUACCGCAUACGUCCUACGGGAGAAAGCCGGGGAUCACUUGUGACCUUGCGCUAAUAGAUGAGCCAAAGUCGGAUUAGCUAGUUGGUGGGGUAAAGGCCUACCAAGGCGACGAUCUGUAGCGGGUCUGAGAGGAUGAUCCGCCACACUGGGACUGAGACACGGCCCAGACUCCUACGGGAGGCAGCAGUGGGGAAUAUUGGACAAUGGGGGGAACCCUGAUCCAGCCAUGCCGAGUGUGUGAAGAAGGCCUUAUGGUUGUAAAGCACUUUAAGCGAGGAGGGGGCUCUUUUGGUUAAUACCCAAGAUGAGUGGACGUUACUCGCAGAAUAAGCACCGGCUAACUCUGUGCCAGCCGCCGCAGUAA
rnacentral:rRNA from 1 species